GGGAGUAUCCUGUGUAAACAAGCUGAAAUAAAUAAAUAAUGCUCCCAAAUACUCAAUGUUAUGCGUUUUCCUGUUUCUUCAAGGCUGUGAAAUAUCCCUUAACCAUGCUCCCUGUGUUUACAGAGGGAUACAUCUCACAAUUGAAGAGCAAGUCACGAGUUCCAGAGAUAGAGGAGUAAAGGCUGGGUCAAGCUUUAUUCUUCUAUGCCAAAGCCGCAGAUUUCUGAAGAAAUCUAGAAUGGAUUUUAGCCAGUCCUGUGACAUCUCUCCAACGCAGAGUACCCCAGAAUCUCCAGCCUCCCCACAACAGCCUCAGAACCAUACUGUGCAUCAAACCCGCUGAUUUUGCAAAUUUGAGCAGCAGCAUUGUGGGAGCCAGUUCACUGCGUUCUUGGAAAUUGAAUGUCACUGAUUUCAUCCAGCAGUGUUUCUUGUCUAUCCUGGUAAUGUCUGUGUACAACUGGCAACAUGAACAGAUGCAAGACCAGGGGGGACAUAUUCUGUUUGCUUCCAGCAAGUGCCAGUGUUGAUGACAAAGGCUGUACUUUCAAUGCUUAGUGUGUACAAAGUCAAGUGACAUAGACACCACGUGUAUGUAUACAGUUUAGCUUGUAUGUGUAUGUAUUGGGAGGUGUGUAUGAAUGCUGAAAUGGCUGUAUACUUUAUAAAUGUUUUUUAAUGUUUCCCUUUGGUAUCUCUUACCUCUUCCUUUGAUCUGUGGUACUUACAUCUUCAUAGAGACCUUCCCUGCUGCUCAAUAGGUCCUUCAGGUCUGUUUUGCAGGCAGAAUACUUUCUACAAUAGCACCAUUUACACUUGGCAUUAACAGCUUACACAAUUAAAGCUGAUGUUUUCAACCUGACCCAUUUAUUGUGCUCUAAACAUCUGUCCAAUAAAAAUGGCAUCCAAGUUUUUUUUAAAAGAUUAAUUAUGUAUUUAGGAAGCAAAUGAAUAUCACAACCUGGGGUGUAGUUUCCGUCUCUCAGGUCUGGCUCAGAGACACUAAAGUAGAAGUUUCUCAUGCUCAUAAGACAGGAGCUGUAGGGGGGCAACAUCAGUUACAAAUGAGAUCUGGGUAGAUUGACAAACAGAAGUGCCAGGUUUGCUUUUUCCUUCUAAUGUGACACAUAUGAUCGCCCUCUUAUCUGUGUGCAUGUUGGUGGUACUCUGUAAGCACAGUGAGGCUUGUAAAAUGCUUUGAAAAAGGUUUGAUUUGCAUGAUAUUUGAUUUUUGUACAGCACCCUCAUUACAUUCAGAUCAGCUUCUUUUUGAGAUAAGGGUUAGGCAUGGCUGGUUGGGAAUCCUGGAGUGCACUAUAAAAAUGUAUUCAAUCGAUGACAAUGCUCUAGACUUCAGGUUUUGCAAAACUCUGUCUGCUGAGAUUUGUUAAUUGAGUUCUAUUAUAAUACACAUGGUCAACAUUUAAAAAAUAAAAGUCAGUUUAAAUUAGUUUCACCAUACUUUUACCAAAUUAAUAUUGGAGAAAGUAGAUGUAUUUAAUCUCUAUCAAAGCUACCUGAAUAUGACCUCCUUCUAAAACUGUGCAUGUUAAAGUAGAUUCUGUUUUCAUAUAACAAAAAAUAUCUUUGUUUGCAAUAGUUGUUCUUUUUCUGCUAUAUCUGGCCAAAUCAGAGAAAUAGCAUCCCUCAUUCACACCUUGAAAAAAUGUAGAUGUGUGCCUGUGAUAAUCUUCUAGGAAUCGAGCCAAAGAUGGCUUCGUCUGUGCUGUAGCUGGCACCAGAGUAAUUAAACCUCCACAAAUGCAGAAUAUGUAAAAAAAAAGUCCAAUCAUAUCCAGGACAAUCAUUUUGGUUUGGCAUGAUUUCUUUAAAUUCAGUUUAGGCCCUUUUCUUGUUUUCUUUUUUCAUUUCUUUGUGUUCUUGUGGUUGAGAGAUCUGUUUCCAGCAAUCUUCUGCAAAGAUGCGAAGAAAAAAAAUCAAUUUACGACACCUGCUUCAGCAAAAGCUGUGUACACCUGUCUGUAAAUCUCUUGGUAAAUGCAAGCUUUUUUUUAAAAAAAAUUAAUUAAAAUCUGAAAAAAGAAAGACA